rnacentral:tRNA from 1 species
GUGGCUGUGGCUCAGUGGUAGAGCACUAGCCUAGCAUAUGCGAGGCACUGGGUUCAAUCCUCAGCACCACA